UUUCGUCUUGCCAAUAUUGAGCUCGGACAACUUAUCUAUUCGAAACACCGGCAUCAUCACAAUACUGUUCCAGAAGAAUGUGCAGAACACAUCAGUCCCUAAAAAUUUUAAGAUUGCGCUUGUAACAUUCAAUUCUUGCGCGCUCCGUCUUCACACCGAAUGCAUGCCCAUGCACAUUUGUCGCGGCCCUAGGCCCACAAUUCAGUGUGUAUACCUUGUGGUUGUAACUACACAGUGAGGCCUAUGAGGACUCGUGAAUCUUUUCCUUCUUCUCUCCUCUGCUCCUCUGCCCAGGGUUCCGAUCCUUCCCUCAACUCACUCCCAUUCUCCCCGGGGUCUUGCAGUCGAUGAGCCGAGGGGCUCCAGUCUCAUUCGCGGGUUCCCCCGGUGUAGAUUGCAGAGACGCCUAAAAAAACAAAGACGGUUUAGCCGUUUCGGAACAAUAAGAGUCUAGCAGGCAAAUUUUAUACAAAAAGAUGCUUGGUCCAAGCAUCAGUUUUUAAAGACAGUACAGACGGAGCCGUAAGCCACUAUUGGCAUUAUCACAACCAAUUCACUAUAAUACCUUUGUAGGUAUACGUAUCACAUAAUACAGAUAACAGCGAGUAUAAAGUCAAAGCGUACCGUACGACACACACAUAAAUUCCUGCUCGCGUUGAACUGCCGUGUACUAUCAGGUUCCGUGUCAUCCUCAGGACAGGAAAGACUUAAAGAAGCGUCACCAUGCUCACCGUCACCAGGAUUUGUUUCCUGCUUGUGCUGCUCGCGCUGUCACCCUACGAGUGCGCACCUUACAGUAGUAAAGAAAGUCUUUCCGCAAUAUCCAUUCACCACAACAAUGUAAAAGGAAGUAUACAGAUCAACUAUGAAGGUGCUCAUAACAACGUAAUUUGUGAUAAGAGAUAUGGAUGUAAUGACAUGGGUGAUGACUACUAAUAUUUAUAAUAACUCGUUAGUGCGGACGAAGAUUUGUUCUCUGCGUGAUUCAGCUAGGUGACGGAUCGAUGAAGCUAAGUUUUUUCAUCCUUAUCUACUUAAGAUUGUUUUUUUUAUAAUGUAAUAACCUAACCUAUUUUUGUUUCUAUAACACGAGAGUUACCAUUAAGUUUUGCUUCGCACUCCCGAAAACAUGUAACAUUUUUAUGAAAAAUUGACUACUUUGUUUCAUUGAAGUACAACUAUUUUCUGGAUAUUAUGUAUUAAGUAUUUUCUCCCGACGUUGUUUCAUUUUUACUAACUCUGUAUCAAUUAGAGAUUAAAAAAAAAAUGCCAUUUAUGAUUUUUGUAAAAAAACGUUUCAUCAGUGCGAAGUCGCAGUAAGAUAACCUUUACUCUUUAGAAUAUAAAAAUAUAUUAAAUAUUAUUUGUAUUGGUUAACAGUUGUGUUUUAUUAUUGCAAGUCUGCGCGGUGAAGAUGACCUCCCUAGUGGGUCAUAUUCGCCUUUACAUGGGAUAAUAAGCUAAUAAGUAAUUCAAAUGAAACUAUCUGAUUAUUAUAAUAAAUUUUGUAAUAAAAAAUAUUUUAUCACUUUAAGUUUGUUAAUCAUUAAAAAGGAAUAUGUUUUAAAAUUGCCAACUGUCAAAUAGUGAAAUAAAACCCGCCGUUGUCUAGUAACUAAGUGACAGAAUUGAUCUCAAUUCUCAGAAGUCAGAAUGCGCAUGACUUUUGGUAAGUUGUAUAUGUAUUCAAUGCUCAUGGUCUCUUGUAAGAGACAGCUGUGAGGGAUCCUACAAAUUAACAGUUUUUCUUAAUAAUAUAUUAUGCAACACUUCUCCUUUUUUAACCACAUCUGUUUUAUCUCAUUCUUUAUACCUCUAAUAUAUUUAUAUAUUGUUCAUGAAGACCCAAAAUUUAACCAAUACUAAAAUAAUGAGGUUACUUAUAAUUGUAGUAAAUAUAUUUGUAUUUUUAUUGCCAAAAUAUAUUUUUUAAAUAUCCGCAUUAAGCCGACCUGACGAACAUACGCCAUACAUAUCUCUGUAUUGUAGAGUGAUAGGCUAAUUGUCAAAAAAAUAUGUUCCACUACGACAGCAUAUCACAAUUAUUAUACCUACGUGUCAAAAUACUACACCACAGGGGCAAUGAUAUAACUCUGCAAUAAGCGAUGCAAAAGAGUAUAAAUACUGCGCUUAUAAUUUAAUUAUUUACUCAAGUCGAGCGUACAGUGAACACGUCAUCUCGCUUGGUGCUCCGACGCUAUGCUCACCGUCUGCCUGUACACGCUGUUUGUGCUUGCAUCCUUCUCCAUCAUCGAUGCAGCCCCAGUAGCAUCUCGAAAACGCGUCUUGGAUAAAAACAACAACGUGUAUAAUAUAAACAUCCAUCACAACAACGUAGAAGGCAAUAUUGAAGUUGUUUUACCAGAUUCUACCGACAAUGAUGCGUCAGAUGAUGGAAACCACGUAACCGCUGAUGAAACUGAGAAUAAUCAUCCGUACGGUAGCAGUUACUACCGUGAUGACCGUGGAAUACGAGGCAAUCGAUAUGGUGGAAGUAGUCAUCGUUCCAGUGGACAGAGUCUUCUGACCCCGCGCUGUCGUCCUCCCUCCCGGCGACCGUAAUGCCCUGUGCCAUACUACAGGAUUUAAGGCAUUUGCAUCUAGUGGUACCGAAUUUAGUAGACAAAACCUAAACCAAAAAUAACUAUACUAUUUAUCGGUAAUUUCUGUAUUUGAUUAUAUGCCCAUUAUUGACUACUUACUAACACUCAAGAAUUCUAAAUUUACGCAUAUUCAUAUGGCGCAAUCAAAACUAAUCUAAGGGCAUCACCCGUAAAUAUGACGAAAUGUAAACAAUCGUCGGGUUUACCAGCGUUGAUGCCCAUAUCUACGAAGCUAUAAAUAACGCGACAUACGCGAAGUUCCGGAGUCAAGUUUUGGAAGUGAGCCUGUCGUGUCGUUUGGUCCCUCGUUUCGUCAUCAUGGUAGCCGUCACCAGGCUCUGUCUACUGUUUGGGCUGCUUGUAUCCCUGACUAUUAUUGAAGGUUUACCACGCCGAGAAUAUUAUGUGGAUGAGUAUAAUAACGUGUAUUAUAUACACAUUCAUCAUAACGACGUAGGAGGAAAUAUUAUAGUUUCACCUCGUGGCAACGAUAAACAGAGAGAAAACAGUGAUUAUUCGAACGAGAAUUAUGAUAGAUAUCCUGGAAACGGACAUCUUCUACGACCACCUCCCUCGUCAUAUCGACCAUACAAAACUGCGCCGCGGCCGUAUUAUUAAGGUUAUUGAAUUACUCUGAAACUAUUAUUGCUAAAAUAAAUUCGUGUAUAAUAUAAUAAUUUUCUUGAGUUAUGUAUGUUAAGAUCUGAAAUGUGUGAGUGGACUUUCAUGUUAGUUAUUUGCGAUCACUUGACGCAUGGUUAAAAUACGAUAUCCUAGAAGAUUAGCAGAGAUGAGAGAUUGAGAUUCAAUAAAAAUGAUUGCUUUUUUUUUUGUAUAAAAUGUUAAAAAGCCACGAUGUAAUUGUCUUCAUGAUUUAAAAACUUUGUUUUACUUUACUCAAUAAAAACCUGUUAGCAGCUGUUAGUUUGUAUUUUAGUCUUUCAAAUCAGAAUACAUGAUGUUAAAAACAACAAAGUAACCAUCCACGCAAAUUAAAUCAAAAUACCAGACCGUUGACAUUAUAAUAUCUAAAUAUAAACAUGUUCAGGGACUUUACCAAGUCGUCACUAUCAGUGACGCUUCGAACAGCAGUUAUAAAUGCUUGUUAAUUUUAUUAAUUAUUACAGUAUAGUGUGGCCAGUUCGUGUCCUACUACGCGGUCAUCAUGUUUAAUGUCACCAGCCUGUGUCUCCUGCUCGUGCUCGCGCUGUCGACCAUCGACACCUCACCCAUAAUAGGUCAAGGAUACUUCACGGAUAAAUAUAACAAUGUGUACUAUAUACACAUUCAUCAUAAUGACAUCAAUGGAAAUCUUGAAAUAAGCUUACCGGAUGGCAGCAAUGUACCUGUUGAUACUUCUGAGGGUCAAUAUGUCCCCGGGCGUGAUUAUACAGGCGGAAGACGCGGCUUUUUCAGAGGAAGGCAGCAUAUCGGAGAUCGAGGAGUUUUUCGAGGAAGGCAUCACAGCUUUGGAGGACGAUGGGACCAUUACGGAGGUCCGGGAUUCGCUGGGCAUCAUCAAUUUCAUGGAUCCCCGCCUUUUGGAGGUUUUCGAAAAUCCGGGUUUCGACAUAAUUAUUCAUAAAACAGACCACAUCAAGAGCUUCUUGGGGUUUGGUGAAUAGAUUUUAUGAGACGAUAGAUUAGUGUUCAUUGGAACAUAUUUAGUUAUUAUUCAUGUUAACUAAUAUUCAGUCUUUUUGUACUCAUUUUUAAAUCAGCGAACUAGAUAGUUAGCAAAUAAAAAAUCAUGUUUGUAUUAAUGUAUUCAUUCGAAAGCAAUGUAUUAUAAUUAGUAUUUUAUGGCUUAUUUUAGUCAAAUAAAUGUAUUUUCAUGAAA